CUUGACUGUCUUUCAGGAGACUAUUAUAGGCUUGGCCAUGUGUGGGAUGUGACCUGGACGCGCCAGCCUCUGUUGAAGACCAACAACUGCAUGUACUUUUGUUUUUUAAUCGUCAUUGAGAUGAUCUGUAUAAUGAAAAGCGCUAUAUAAAAUACAUCUAUUAUUAUCUCUCCUACCAGUAAAAACGGAAGGGAUCCUUGCCACUACUUCGCUUUCCAACCAAGAAUGAACUGAGGAGCAAACUGAAGUAGAGAGGAGAUUCAGUAACUCUUGGAGGACAAUGGAAUGUCUGGUGUUUGCCGCCAACCAUCUUCGCCAAUGUGCAAAACAGACAUGAAAACAAGUGGCAGAGUGGCAAACAGAGAAAGCUUGAGACCAAUAACAUUGUACAUGUGUGAGAUGUAAAAGAGUGAGGAAAAGUCACAGACGAAGAGAGGGGGAGCCAGCUUGAAGGAAGAGACAAGAAAAAGUCACAGACGAAGAGAGGGGGAGCCAGCUUGAAGGAAGAGACAAGAAAAAGUCACAGACGAAGAGAGGGGGAGCCAGCUUGAAGGAAGAGACAAGAAAAAGUCACAGACGAAGAGAGGGGGAGCCAGCUUGAAGGAAGAGACAAGAAAAAGUCACAGACGA